UGGUGGCGAUGGCGGAAGGGUUCCACGCGUUUCCAUACCGAACACGACCGUUAAGCCUUCCAGCGCCGAUGGUACUUGGACCGAAGGGUCCCGGGAGAGUAGGACGUCGCCAAGCG
rnacentral:rRNA from 1 species